rnacentral:rRNA from 1 species
AGUGAACGCUGGCGGUAGGCCUAACACAUGCCAGUCGAACGGCAGCACAGUAAGAGCUUGCUCUUACGGGUGGCGAGUGGCGGACGGGUGAGGAAUACAUCGGAAUCUACUUUUUCGUGGGGGAUAACGUAGGGAAACUUACGCUAAUACCGCAUACGACCUACGGUUGAAAGCAGGGGAUCUUCGGACCUUGCGCGAUUGAAUGAGCCGAUGUCGGAUUAGCUAGUUGGCGGGGUAAAGGCCCACCAAGGCGACGAUCCGUAGCUGGUCUGAGAGGAUGAUCAGCCACACUGGAACUGAGACACGGUCCAGACUCCUACGGGAGGCAGCAGUGGGGAAUAUUGGACAAUGGGCGCAAGCCUGAUCCAGCCAUACCGCGUGGGUGAAGAAGGCCUUCGGGUUGUAAAGCCCUUUUGUUGGGAAAGAAAAGCAGCAGGUUAAUACCCCGCUGUUCUGACGGUACCCAAAGAAUAAGCACCGGCUAACUUCGUG